GCCCCUCGGGGAGGAGACGGGGCCGCGGGCGGCUGGGCGGGGCGGGGCGGGGCGGGGCCGGGGCGGCCGGGGGCGCCGACCCCUCAACUCUGACCGCGGGGCUGGCGGGGCCUCGCCGCUCCUCGCACGCGGACUUUCCCUUUGAUCCUCGCCCCGACUCUUCUGCCCUCCCCACCCCGCUUCCUUCCUCUCUCCCGGGAGCAGAAAACCUUCCUCUUAGCCGGGGCGGGGGCGUCCCGUGGGCCGACCCUGCGGCCCCCGCUGCCGGCCGCCGUCCGUCCUCGCAGAUGCUGUGAAAACAAAAACGACCUCAGCACCUGCGCUCAAAGAGCCUGCCGUCGCUGGGAAGACUCGAUGUAUAGAAGAGCAUUGCCACACAGUGCGAGUCUGGGUUUUCAACAGACAUGCCAGGGCGAGGACUCUCAUUGAUUGGCCCUCAGGAAUGUAUCUGUUGGUGGAAGUAUUUCGUCUGUCUCGAUCGAGCUGUAAGAGAUACAUAUGGCUCCAUUCAAAUUACACCAUAGGAUCCACAACUCAUCUGACUUCCCAGUGGUCCAGACCACUCUGCCUCGUCCUGCUAAUGGACCCUCACCCAAGCUUGAUGAUGACUGGUACAGAGAGGAGGGCAGGGGUGGUCAGAGCCGGUUUUAAUCUGGGGAGGGUAUUUGUGUUGUCUGUACUCCAAAAUCACACUAAAAAAUCAUAUUAAUUAUUUUUAUUAUAUGUUGUUUGGUAUUAUUUUGACUCCUUUAAUAAAUUUUGUUUUUCCAACCCACAUGGUCAUAGUUAAGCAAAUUAUCUGUAUAAUACUGUAUUAAACAAAUUCAACCACAUCUUGUGCUAGAAUCCUUUACAGCUAUUAAUAACAAGAUGUUUCUUAAUAAACCAGACAAAUGUUAAUGAUAUAAGUGGAAAAGCAGAUUCUAAAAACAGUAUAUAUAGUAUGAUCCUGUUUUUGAAAAAUAAAUUGAAAAAUAUUUUGGAAUGAUUAUCUCUGACAGGUGGAAGAUUAAGGGGAUUUCUUUAUUUUCUCAUUUUUAUUCUUAUUUUCUAUAAGAAACUUGUGUUUCUUUUAUAAUCAGAGGAGAAGCAUGUGACUAGAACCUUUCACUAAUUUCUCCACAUUUUUUUUAAAAAAACACGCACAACUGGAUUUAAUGGCCCAAUAAGAAGUUGACAAGGGCAGAGUCAAGGAAAGAUUGUUUCCUAGCCUUUAGGGAAAAGGCAAAUACAGUCACGCGUCGCUUACGGGAUAUGUUCUGAGAAAUGCAUUUUUAGGCAAUUGCAUUGUUAGGCGAUUUUGUACUUGUGUAAACAUCAUAGACUGUACUUAUACAAACCUAGAUGGUACAGCUGAUCUUAUGGGACCACCGUCAUGUGUCCGGUCUGUCAUUGACCAAAACAUUGCUAUACGACGCAUACUUGUAUACUGCUUUCAAGACGUCCCUGAAGCACGUACCUGCCCCAUCUUUGACAGUAUUACAUAGCUGAUUCCUACUGUGGUUGUGGUCAACUGUGACUCAGGUUUCUUCUCUUUUUUAACCUCCCCAUACUAUAUUUCCAUUUGCUUUUCCUGAAGAACACUCUUUGCUCCAUACCAACUGAACUGCAUCUUGUGUUUUGAAGGACAAAAUAGACCUUUAUCAAAGUUGUUUGGAGUCUUUUUUGCUCUAUAGAGUAAAAAGCAGUCUGUAGUUCAGCGUAACAUUAGUUCUGUUAUCUCUCAUCAAAGAGAAACAUGAAAGAGAACUGACCCCAGGACUAGGGAACAGUGUAUGCUAUGGGCUGAA